rnacentral:lncRNA from 1 species
AUUUUUGGAAAGAAUUGAUCAAGUGGUUUCUUGGUUAAAGCUCGAUGAUAAAUCAAGACCUUCUAUGACUUUAUUAUAUUUUGAAGAACCAGAUAGUGCAGGGCAUAGUUACGGACCUGAUUCAGAAGAGGUAAAUUCUGCGAUAAAGAAAACUGAUGAAUAUUUUGGGAUUCUUCUUGAAAAAUUAAAAUCAAAUAAAUUGACAGAAAAUUUAAAUAUAAUUGUA